UAGAGACUGGGUCCUCCUACUCCCCC
rnacentral:piRNA from 1 species